rnacentral:rRNA from 1 species
CAACUUUUAACGGUGGAUCUCUUGGCUCGUGCAUCGAUGAAGAACGCAGCCAGGUGCGAUAAGUAGUGUGAAUUGCAGAAUUCAGUGAAUCAUCGAAUCUUUGAACGCAAAUGGCGCUCUUGGGU